rnacentral:rRNA from 1 species
UACAGAGGGUGCAGGCGUUGUUCGGAAUUACUGGGCGUAAAGCGCACGUAGGCGGAUUGUUAAGUCAGAGGUGAAAUCCCGGAGCUCAACUUCGGAACUGCCUUUGAUACUGGCAAUCUCGAGUCCGGAAGAGGUUAGUGGAAUUCCCAGUGUAGAGGUGAAAUUCGUAGAUAUUGGGAAGAACACCAGUGGCGAAGGCGGCUAACUGGUCCGGUACUGACGCUGAGGUGCGAAAGCGUGGGAGCAAACAGGAUUGAGAAACC